AACAAAAGUAUUUUUAACAAGUACGUUUUGCGGCUAAAGAGCAACUAAAACAAGUAUUUUUUCCUUAUCUUGCUAUAUUGCUAUUUUUUCAAUUUUGAAUUACUGUAAAUCAUUGUAUCUUGGCAUUAUCCCACCUUUCUUAUAAAGGGAAGGGUGCAACAAUGACAAUAGCAUAUAUACAGGUACAGUAUUACAAAAUAAAAGAACAUCGCCAUAAUAACGUAACCUUACACUCGGAACGGGAAUAUAGUUUUGCAGGGAAAUUUCUGAAAAAGUACAAUAAUAAAAAGACCACGUGUUUCUGUAGAGUAAGGGUCUGCUGUUUUUUUCUGUGACACACGCCAUACAAAUCUAGUCAUUACAAACCUACGUUGUCGUUGAUGAAGAAGACGUUUGUCCAUUUGGACCACAAUUCAUGAUUUAGCGGAAUUCUUCGUCCAAAGAGGUCUUCACGUUAAAUCAUAUUUUGAUAUAUAUUUUGCGGUUUUUUUUUCACGAGUCGGUUGUGUCUUAUUUCAAUUUAUAUCUCAUUAUGUUAUAUUAACCUGGUGAUUUUCACAGUGUGUAUUGUAUUGUUUACCUGGCUUUUAUGUAUUACAUCUUAAUAUUGAUGAAUGGUAUGGAAUUAAAGAAAUAUGUUCAUA